UUGGAUGAUAGUGCAGCCAUAUCUACCUCUCUAAGUUUUUUCCCAGCAGAAAUGAUGGUUGGCUACUGCAGAGGCAAGAGUUUCUGGUGUCCUCUGCCGAGGAGUUCACUGGUGACUAUGGUGGUCCCCACUACAUGGCUGAUACCAAUGCCUCCACCUUUCUUUUUUGCUCCUAGGCAUCUCCUGCCAUCUCAGCAAGCUGCCAUGCUGUUGGUAGCAUUUUAAAAAGACAAGCAUGGCGAAGAAAGGAUAUCUCUGCCAAGCAGCCAGGAACAUCCUGAGGCCUGUCAGCAGCCCUUUCCGUGAAACUGGAAAUGGAUCUUCCCCUUGUGAUGACUACAGUCCCAACUGAGAGCUUGACUGCAACCUCAUGAGCAGCCCUGAGCCAGAGACACUGAGCUAAUUUCUGCCUGAAUUCCUGAUUCAUGGAAAUUAUGGGCUAAUAAAUAUAUCUCAUUUUAAGCUA
rnacentral:lncRNA from 10 species